rnacentral:rRNA from 1 species
CAGCAGUAGGGAAUCUUCCACAAUGGGCGAAAGCCUGAUGGAGCAACGCCGCGUGUGUGAUGAAGGGUUUCGGCUCGUAAAACACUGUUGUAAGAGAAGAAUGACAUUGAGAGUAACUGUUCAAUGUGUGACGGUAUCUUACCAGAAAGGAACGGCUAAAUACGUGCCAGCAGCCGCGGUAAUACGUAUGUUCCAAGCGUUAUCCGGAUUUAUUGGGCGUAAAGCGAGCGCAGACGGUUAUUUAAGUCUGAAGUGAAAGCCCUCAGCUCAACUGAGGAAUUGCUUUGGAAACUGGAUGACUUGAGUGCAGUAGAGGAAAGUGGAACUCCAUGUGUAGCGGUGAAAUGCGUAGAUAUAUGGAAGAACACCAGUGGCGAAGGCGGCUUUCUGGACUGUAACUGACGUUGAGGCUCGAAAGUGUGGGUAGCAAACAGGAUUAGA